GAUGGGCAUUUCGACAAAACAUGUCUCUUCAGUGAUGCUCGUGGCCAAAAUAUUUGAAAUCCAAAUCUUAUAUAAAAGAUGAAGAGCUAUAAUCCAAAAGGUCCAAAAAGUAUAGUCAAAUUCGUGAAAGGAAUCAGAGCUUUGCAUGAGGGAGAUACAUUCCUUAAUUUAUAAUAAUUUAUAAUAUUUUGUAACAGCAAAUUUUAAUAACACAAA
rnacentral:lncRNA from 1 species